AAGAUUGAUGGAGCUGAAGGGGAGCUGGUGUGUAAGUUAAUGCCCUUUAUUUGCUGUGCUCUCUCUCCAUCAGAAAGGCUCAGCUACGUACCUUUGGGGUUGAAGCUGAGGGAUAUCAAAGGGUGUGAAUUGGUUUGUGUUUUUUACACACGCACAAAUCUCAGGCUCUGAGGCGACUGUCGCUGACCACAAUGUCCUGUACUUGCUGCUCACAGAGGGUGAGGGUGUGAUACGCAAACAAUGCCCACACAUGGCAUCUGGGAUGUGUUUCGUGGCUGUUAAUAGCUGGAGUUCGGGCUGGCGGGGGGCGGUGCGCCAAGCCAAACCCUCGGGCAAAGCACAGCAUCAGUUUGGCACUACGUCAAGGCAGGAAAGUGUCUGAAGAGUGAAGGUGGUAAUCGGUGUCGAUGCUCAAUGUGGAUUUAGGGGAGUGUACAGAGUGCUCGUGUGGCUGCAGAGCUGACGUGGAGCACAGACUUACUAUCUCCGAAAGGCGGAGUGACAGAGCAGUGAGGAGGUGCGGCUCAGCGGCUCUGGGUGGACAUGUUCCGGGGCCGGAGGGAGCGCUGGCUCCAAACCAGGAAAAGGGCCUCGGGAACGACUUUACUUUGUGGAUAAAAGCCAGGAGAACGAUGAGCUGCCAAUCAGCUGCAGGACAAGUGGAACAACAUGGAGAGGAAUUUGAAUAGUAAAUUGGAAGAUGCCUGAAGCAGGAGAGGUGCUCACCAGCCCCUGAGGUGUGGGAGAGAGCGAGCCACAGCGACACUGGGAGUGUGUGAGAUGAAGGUUCAACAGAAGUGCCCACCCGAGUGGCACUGAGGUUGUCUGACACGAACUUACGCCCGCGCACUGUCCAGGAACAUUGAGCCAACCUGCAAGGACUGAGAGGUGGAGUUGGAUCCAGCGCUGGGGAGGGAGGCCAGCCAUUCCUGGUGGUGAGGAGCGAGACAGCGAUUGAGCUCCCAGUCAGCUCUGUACAUCUGCACCAA